rnacentral:rRNA from 1 species
UACGUAGGGGGCUAGCGUUGUCCGGAAUCAUUGGGCGUAAAGAGCGCGUAGGCGGCUGGAAUAGUCCGGUGUGAAAUCCACAGGCUUAACCUGUGAAUGCCGCUGGAAACUGUCUGGCUAGAGUCCGGAAGGGGCGAGUGGAAUUCCUGGUGUAGCGGUGAAAUGCGCAGAUAUCAGGAAGAACACCCGUGGCGAAGGCGGCUCUCUGGGACGGUACUGACGCUGAGACGCGAAAGCGUGGGGAGCGAACAGG